AUCUAAAGCCUUUGAUUGUGUUGUUCAUAAUACUAUUCUACGUCAAUUAGAAAAUUUAGGAAUACGAGGAAACGCUCUGAAACUUUUCAAAACUUAUUUAUGUGAUAGGCAGCAGGCGACAGUUAUAGAAUCGUUUAACGAUUUAACAAAAUCCAUAGAACAGGAGCAAUCAGACUUUGAAAUUGUCCACUUAUUUUUUUAAUUUAUAUAAAUGAAUUACCUAAAGUUGUCAACGAAUUAUGCGUUCUAUUUGCUGAUGACGCUACGCUUUUAUUUUCAGGACCAUUAACAGAUGAGCAACUUGAACACAGUAUAAACAACACACUAGGAAUUGUAGUUGAAUGGCUAAAAACAUUAAACCUUAACGUAAAUUUAAACAAAACAAAACUCGUUCAAUUUAGAAAUUACAGAACUUCACCUAUGCCCAUCACCGUAAAACAAGGAUCGGUGACAAUAGAGCAAGUGGACAGCGCCAAAUUCCUAGGAAUUACAAUAGACUCUCAUCUCAAUUGGAAGUCUCACAUUGCAGAUUUAAACUCUAAAAUUGCAAAAGCAGCCUAUGCCCUAUCUAUACUCUCUGAAACAUGUUCAGAGAAUGUCGUUAAGAGCGCAUACUAUGGAAAUGUAUAUUCACAACUCACUUAUGGUAUCAUUUAUUGGGGUGAUUCUGUUGAUGUUCUAACUACAUUCAGGUUACAAAAAAGAUGCUUACGAAACAUGUUUCACUUGCACAAGCUUCACUCAGUUAGAAAUGUUUUCAAGGAAAAGCGGAUUUUGACUUUAACUGGAAUCUACAUACUGGAGCUUUGCCUCUUUGUAAAGCGCAAUGGAGAGUAUUUCACAAAACUGUCGACAAUCAAUGAUAACUUGCGCAUGCAAUAUAAAUAUAACUAUCGUAUUCCAAAGGUCAAUAAUAAAAUUAUGGAUAAAAGUGCCUACAUUGCAGCAAUAAAAGUUUUUAACAAGUUGCCUGUUGAAAUAAAGUCUGUCGAAGGUAA